GGGUUGUGAGGUUAAGCGACUAAGCGUACACGGUGGAUGCCCUGGCAGUCAGAGGCGAUGAAGGACGUGCUAAUCUGCGAUAAGCGUCGGUAAGGUGAUAUGAACCGUUAUAACCGGCGAUUUCCGAAUGGGGAAACCCAGUGUGAUUCGUCACACUAUCAUUAACUGAAUCCAUAGGUUAAUGAGGCGAACCGGGGGAACUGAAACAUCUAAGUACCCCGAGGAAAAGAAAUCAACCGAGAUUCCCCCAGUAGCGGCGAGCGAACGGGGAGCAGCCCAGAGCCUGAAUCAGUGUGUGUGUUAGUGGAAGCGUCUGGAAAGGCGCGCGAUACAGGGUGACAGCCCCGUACACAAAAAUGCACAUACUGUGAGCUCGAUGAGUAGGGCGGGACACGUGGUAUCCUGUCUGAAUAUGGGGGGACCAUCCUCCAAGGCUAAAUACUCCUGACUGACCGAUAGUGAACCAGUACCGUGAGGGAAAGGCGAAAAGAACCCCGGCGAGGGGAGUGAAAAAGAACCUGAAACCGUGUACGUACAAGCAGUGGGAGCACGCUUCGGCGUGUGACUGCGUACCUUUUGUAUAAUGGGUCAGCGACUUAUAUUCUGUAGCAAGGUUAACCGAAUAGGGGAGCCGAAGGGAAACCGAGUCUUAACUGGGCGUUAAGUUGCAGGGUAUAGACCCGAAACCCGGUGAUCUAGCCAUGGGCAGGUUGAAGGUUGGGUAACACUAACUGGAGGACCGAACCGACUAAUGUUGAAAAAUUAGCGGAUGACUUGUGGCUGGGGGUGAAAGGCCAAUCAAACCGGGAGAUAGCUGGUUCUCCCCGAAAGCUAUUUAGGUAGCGCCUCGUGAAUUCAUCUCCGGGGGUAGAGCACUGUUUCGGCAAGGGGGUCAUCCCGACUUACCAACCCGAUGCAAACUGCGAAUACCGGAGAAUGUUAUCACGGGAGACACACGGCGGGUGCUAACGUCCGUCGUGAAGAGGGAAACAACCCAGACCGCCAGCUAAGGUCCCAAAGUCAUGGUUAAGUGGGAAACGAUGUGGGAAGGCCCAGACAGCCAGGAUGUUGGCUUAGAAGCAGCCAUCAUUUAAAGAAAGCGUAAUAGCUCACUGGUCGAGUCGGCCUGCGCGGAAGAUGUAACGGGGCUAAACCAUGCACCGAAGCUGCGGCAGCGACACUAUGUGUUGUUGGGUAGGGGAGCGUUCUGUAAGCCUGUGAAGGUGUACUGUGAGGUAUGCUGGAGGUAUCAGAAGUGCGAAUGCUGACAUAAGUAACGAUAAAGCGGGUGAAAAGCCCGCUCGCCGGAAGACCAAGGGUUCCUGUCCAACGUUAAUCGGGGCAGGGUGAGUCGACCCCUAAGGCGAGGCCGAAAGGCGUAGUCGAUGGGAAACAGGUUAAUAUUCCUGUACUUGGUGUUACUGCGAAGGGGGGACGGAGAAGGCUAUGUUGGCCGGGCGACGGUUGUCCCGGUUUAAGCGUGUAGGCUGGUUUUCCAGGCAAAUCCGGAAAAUCAAGGCUGAGGCGUGAUGACGAGGCACUACGGUGCUGAAGCAACAAAUGCCCUGCUUCCAGGAAAAGCCUCUAAGCAUCAGGUAACAUCAAAUCGUACCCCAAACCGACACAGGUGGUCAGGUAGAGAAUACCAAGGCGCUUGAGAGAACUCGGGUGAAGGAACUAGGCAAAAUGGUGCCGUAACUUCGGGAGAAGGCACGCUGAUAUGUAGGUGAAGCGACUUGCUCGUGGAGCUGAAAUCAGUCGAAGAUACCAGCUGGCUGCAACUGUUUAUUAAAAACACAGCACUGUGCAAACACGAAAGUGGACGUAUACGGUGUGACGCCUGCCCGGUGCCGGAAGGUUAAUUGAUGGGGUUAGCGGUAACGCGAAGCUCUUGAUCGAAGCCCCGGUAAACGGCGGCCGUAACUAUAACGGUCCUAAGGUAGCGAAAUUCCUUGUCGGGUAAGUUCCGACCUGCACGAAUGGCGUAAUGAUGGCCAGGCUGUCUCCACCCGAGACUCAGUGAAAUUGAACUCGCUGUGAAGAUGCAGUGUACCCGCGGCAAGACGGAAAGACCCCGUGAACCUUUACUAUAGCUUGACACUGAACAUUGAGCCUUGAUGUGUAGGAUAGGUGGGAGGCUUUGAAGUGUGGACGCCAGUCUGCAUGGAGCCGACCUUGAAAUACCACCCUUUAAUGUUUGAUGUUCUAACGUUGGCCCGUGAUCCGGGUUGCGGACAGUGUCUGGUGGGUAGUUUGACUGGGGCGGUCUCCUCCUAAAGAGUAACGGAGGAGCACGAAGGUUGGCUAAUCCUGGUCGGACAUCAGGAGGUUAGUGCAAUGGCAUAAGCCAGCUUGACUGCGAGCGUGACGGCGCGAGCAGGUGCGAAAGCAGGUCAUAGUGAUCCGGUGGUUCUGAAUGGAAGGGCCAUCGCUCAACGGAUAAAAGGUACUCCGGGGAUAACAGGCUGAUACCGCCCAAGAGUUCAUAUCGACGGCGGUGUUUGGCACCUCGAUGUCGGCUCAUCACAUCCUGGGGCUGAAGUAGGUCCCAAGGGUAUGGCUGUUCGCCAUUUAAAGUGGUACGCGAGCUGGGUUUAGAACGUCGUGAGACAGUUCGGUCCCUAUCUGCCGUGGGCGCUGGAGAACUGAGGGGGGCUGCUCCUAGUACGAGAGGACCGGAGUGGACGCAUCACUGGUGUUCGGGUUGUCAUGCCAAUGGCACUGCCCGGUAGCUAAAUGCGGAAGAGAUAAGUGCUGAAAGCAUCUAAGCACGAAACUUGCCCCGAGAUGAGUUCUCCCUGACUCCCUGAGAGUCCUGAAGGAACGUUGAAGACGACGACGUUGAUAGGCCGGGUGUGUAAGCGCAGCGAUGCGUUGAGCUAACCGGUACUAAUGAACCGUGAGGCUUAACCUUACAACGCCGAAG
rnacentral:rRNA from 1 species